UGAGGCUGUGGACAAGUUACG
rnacentral:misc_RNA from 1 species